rfam:Candidatus Gracilibacteria bacterium CG1_02_38_174 cg_0.2_sub10_scaffold_1474_c, whole genome shotgun sequence.
AGUAGCUACGUUCGGAAAGGAUAACCACUGAAAGCAUCUAAGUGGGAAGCCAACUUCAAGAUGAGAUUUCUCCAGUCGCAAGACUGAUAAGUGCCCUUGGAGACUACAAGGUUGAUAGGUUGCAGGUGUACGGACAGCAAUAUCUUUAGCCGAGCAAUACUAAUAGCACGAAUGGUAUUUAUAC